GAGGAACGCUGGCGGCGUGCCUAAUACAUGCAAGUCGAGCGAACGGACGAGAAGCUUGCUUCUCUGAUGUUAGCGGCGGACGGGUGAGUAACACGUGGAUAACCUACCUAUAAGACUGGGAUAACUUCGGGAAACCGGAGCUAAUACCGGAUAAUAUUUUGAACCGCAUGGUUCAAAAGUGAAAGACGGUCUUGCUGUCACUUAUAGAUGGAUCCGCGCUGCAUUAGCUAGUUGGUAAGGUAACGGCUUACCAAGGCAACGAUGCAUAGCCGACCUGAGAGGGUGAUCGGCCACACUGGAACUGAGACACGGUCCAGACUCCUACGGGAGGCAGCAGUAGGGAAUCUUCCGCAAUGGGCGUAAGCCUGACGGAGCAACGCCGCGUGAGUGAUGAAGGUCUUCGGAUCGUAAAACUCUGUUAUUAGGGAAGAACAUAUGUGUAAGUAACUGUGCACAUCUUGACGGUACCUAAUCAGAAAGCCCCGGCUAACUACGUC
rnacentral:rRNA from 1 species